CUACAUUAGAAACAAAAGUUUUCAUCAACAAAAUUUAUUUGAAUCCGCCCCCUGUUUAAAUCCGCCAUUUUGAAAUAUUUCUGCAAGAGUAAUCAUCUCCGCUUGGAAUCCGCCCCCUGUUUAAAUCCGCCAUUUUGAAAUAUUUCUGCAAGAGUAAUCAUCUCCGCUUGGAAUCCGCCCCCUGUUUAAAUCCGCCAUUUUGAAAUAUUUCUGCAAGAGUAAUCAUCUCCGCUUGGAAUCCGCCCCCUGUUUAAAUCCGCCAUUUUGAAAUAUUUCUGCAAGAGUAAUCAUCUCCGCUUGGAAUCCGCCCCCUGUUUAAAUCCGCCAUUUUGAAAUAUUUCUGCAAGAGUAAUCAUCUCCGCUUGGAAUCCGCCCCCUGUUUAAAUCCGCCAUUUUGAAAUAUUUCUGCAAGAGUAAUCAUCUCCGCUUGGAAUCCGCCCCCUGUUUAAAUCCGCCAUUUUGAAAUAUUUCUGCAAGAGUAAUCAUCUCCGCUUGGUAAGUCAUUAAAAAAGAGACCGAUAUACUAACAUUAUACUCAAAGAAACUGAAAGCACCGCGCAAAAUAAAUGUGUUACAAGAGAAAAAUGAAAAAAAUAUAAUAUUAAUGUAUAAAAAAAUUGUUUUGCAAUUAUAAUAUUAAUUUUUAUUGAAAGAUAAAUCAUUUUUUCAUUGCCAAAAUUUAGAUGGCUAUAUGUCUGAGUUAAAGUUUUAUGUUCUGGUAAUGGAAAAUUUUAGCAUUUUGUUCUAUUUCCGCAUGAAUUGGAAACCGGAGACAAAUACUCAACACAAAAUAAAAUGUGUCACAAGUGCAGAAUUAAAUCAAUUAUUACAAUAAUAUAACAAAAUCUAUUCUGAGAAAUUUUAACACAUUAGCCAAUUACAAUGCUUGUUACACAUUCUUUUUCGCUGUGUGUUCAGUUUUGCUUGCUUUUAAUGGCUCCAUCCCCUUGUAUCAGUCCACCAUUUUAAACACAUCUGUGAGAGUAAUAAAUUGCGCUUGGUAUGCAUGCUAGAAAGAGACAACUCUAUGCGACCGUGUUGGUAAUAUACGCUUUCCUAAGGCAAUGACAUUCACAUAGAAAUCUCUUUCUCGAAUGCAUAGCGAUUGGAACAGAUUACACCAGCUAAAAUAAGAAACACUUGAGAAAAAUUUUACGGUA